rnacentral:rRNA from 1 species
UACGUAGGGGGCGAGCGUUGUCCGGAAUCAUUGGGCGUAAAGAGCGUGUAGGCGGCCAAUUAAGUCCUGCGUGAAAUCUCGGGGCUCAACCCCGAGCGGUCGUGGGAAACUGGUUGGCUAGAGUGCGGGAGAGGAGAGUGGAAUUCCUGGUGUAGCGGUGAAAUGCGCAGAUAUCAGGAAGAACACCCGUGGCGAAGGCGGCUCUCUGGAACGCAACUGACGCUGAGACGCGAAAGCGUGGGGAGCGAACAGG